GACGUAGGGCGCAAGCGUUGUCCGGAUUUAUUGGGCGUAAAGAGCUCGUAGGCGGCUUGUUGCGUCGACCGUGAAAAACCCCGUGGCUCAACUGCGGGCUUGCGGUCGAUACGGGCGGGCUAGAGUUCGGUAGGGGAGACUGGAAUUCCUGGUGUAGCGGUGAAAUGCGCAGAUAUCAGGAGGAACACCGGUGGCGAAGGCGGAUCUCUGGGCCGAUACUGACGCUGAGGAGCGAAGGCCAGGGAGCAAACGGG
rnacentral:rRNA from 1 species